rnacentral:rRNA from 1 species
AUUGAACGCUGGCGGCAGGCCUAACACAUGCAAGUCGAACGAGUGGCGUACGGGUGAGUAAUGUCUGGGAAACUGCCCGAUGGAGGGGGAUAACUACUGGAAACGGUAGCUAAUACCGCAUACCAUCGGAUGUGCCCAGAGGGGAUUAGCUAGUAGGGGGGGUAACGGCUCAACUAGGCGACGAUCCCUAGCUGGUCUGAGCGGAUGACCAGCCACACUGGAACUGAUACACGGGCCAGACUCCUACGGGAGGCAGCAGUGGGGAAUAUUGCACCAUGGGCGCAAGCCUGAUGCAGCCAUGCCGCGUGUAUGAAGAAGGCCUUCGGGUUGUAAAGUACUUUCAGCGAGGAGGCGUUACUCGCAGAAGAAGCACCGGCUAACUCCGUGCCAGCCGCCGCGGUAAGUC